GCCCAGCUUAGGAGUCCCAAAUAGGACGAAACGCGCGUCCUGGAU
rnacentral:hammerhead_ribozyme from 1 species